rnacentral:rRNA from 1 species
UUAGGACGGGCCCGCGCCCGAUUAGGUAGUUGGUGAGGUAAAGGCUCACCAAGCCGACGAUCGGUAGCUGGUCUGAGAGGAUGAUCAGCCACACUGGGACUGAGACACGGCCCAGACUCCUACGGGAGGCAGCAGUGGGGAAUAUUGGACAAUGGGCGCAAGCCUGAUCCAGCCAUGCCGCGUGAGUGAAGAAGGCCUUCGGGUUGUAAAGCUCUUUCAGCGGGGACGAUGAUGACGGUACCCGCAGAAGAAGCCCCGGCUAACUUCGUGCCAGCAGCCGCGGUAAUACCAAGGGGGCUAGCGUUGUUCGGAAUUACUGGGCGUAAAGAGUACGUAGGCGGACCGUUAAGUUAGGGGUGAAAUNCCAGGGCUCAACCUUGGAAUCGCCUUUAAAACUGGCGGACUUGAGUCCGAGAGAGGGUGGCGGAAUUCCCAGUGUAGAGGUGAAAUUCGUAGAUAUUGGGAAGAACACCAAUGGCGAAGGCGGGCACCUGGCUUCG